GACGGAGGGUGCUAGCGUUGUUCGGAAUUAUUGGGCGUAAAGCGCGUGUAGGCGGCUUUGCAAGUCGGGUGUGAAAGCCCUCGGCUCAACCGAGGAAGUGCGCCCGAAACUGCAGAGCUUGAGUACCGGAGAGGAUGGCGGAAUUCCCCAAGUAGAGGUGAAAUUCGUAGAUAUGGGGAGGAACACCGGUGGCGAAGGCGGCCAUCUGGACGGAUACUGACGCUGAGACGCGAAAGCGUGGGGAGCAAACAGG
rnacentral:rRNA from 1 species